rnacentral:rRNA from 1 species
GGAUUCUACCGUCGGUCGGGCUAACAAGUCUGUACUGGUGUGUAGAAUUUCUACCUUCUGGGGAACCAUCAUGUUAUUAAUUUAGCGUGGUGGGAAACCAGGACCUUUACCUUGAAAAAAUUAGAGUGUUUAAAGCAGGCAUUUUUGCUUGAAUACAUUAGCAUGGAAUAAUAAAAUAGGACGGUGGUCCUGUUUUGUUGGUUUCUGAAUCACCGUA